UCUUCCAUAGGUGGGAGUAUAUCAAACCUCUAUGGUAUAUUAGUAGCUCGUUAUAGGCAAUAUCCAGAGAUAAAAACAAAAGGCAUGACAGCACUUCCAUGCAUUGUAUUGUUUGUUUCUGAACAAGGUCAAUAUUCAGUAAAAAAAAGCUGCAGCAAUCCUUGGUAUGGGAACUGAUAAUGUAAUUGAAGCAAAAUGUGAUGAAAGGGGAAAGAUGAUUCCAGCUGAGUUGGAGAAAAAUAUAUUACAAGCUAAAAGGAAGGCAGCUUGGGGAGGUGGAUUGUUGCUGUCCAGAAACCACUCCUAUAAACUCAGUGGCAUUGAAAGAGCACAGGCUCCGGACGCACAGGCUCAGCGGCCAUGGCUCACGGGCCCAGCCGCUCUGUGGAAUGUGGGAUCCUCCCGGACCGGGGCACGACCCCGUGUCCCCUGCAUCGGCAGGCGGACUCUCAACCACUGCG